UAGAAAACGUCAGGUAGUCUACAAAAUCAUAAAUUUUCUUCAGGCCAUCAGACAGCUGAGCUUGCAAGGCACCAAGUGAAAUACAAAAUGUGAGAAGCUCCUCCAAGGAGGAAGGGACGCGUGACUCUUUCACCUUCAGCAGAGCUGGGGAGGAAGAGUUAGCCACCAUGAAAUCAGGUUUAACAAAUACUUAUGUCUCUGACUUUGGAUGGUUCGACUUACGAUUUUUCGACUUCACGACGGUGUGAAGGUGAGACAGGCUGGGACCUGGGACCUGGGAUCCUUGGCUGCAGUGCUUGCAACACUGGACAAACGUCUCCUCCAGCAACAGAAUAUAAAGAAACUAUAAAGGACUAAAAAUAACUGCAUGCAUAGGCAGCUGGGGCAAAUUAUAAGUAACAAGAUAGAAAAAGACCAAAAACCCAGCAGCCGCUUCUGAGGUGCCGGGAGCAAAAGCAAGGUGCACACUGCGCAUGCUCCCUGCGCACGGCACUAAGGGGCUGGGCCGACCGCCUUAGCCGCCCCUCCAGCCUGGACCCGCCCACACCCUCACGCCAUUUAAGGGACCAGCUCACCGCCUCUUAGGGAGCGAGCAAAGAAACCUGUUACUUGUUUUCGCUCAGUCGUCCUGCAGCACCAGUGCCAAUAAAGCCUUGCCUGAA